AAGUUCAGUAUGACUGUGGUACAUGAUACAAAAGAAUAAAUACAGAAGAAUAAAAACUUUGUGAAUAACUUUACUCUUCUUAAAAAUAACUCAUAAAACAAGUAAAAGUACAAAUGUGUACAAGUUAGAGACUUCCUCAGUAAGUUUACACUCUUUUGGAGUUGAUUUUAAUUGUGUGUUAAAGAGAAAGAUUAGGAGGUAAAGUAGAGGAUGCAGAGUCAAUCAUCACUGAGGUCAUCUCUCCUGCAUGAAGUACAGGCGCUGGUUUUCCAGUGUGUGCAUCUGAUGGCCCAAAGCUGACUCAGAGCUGUAACACCAUCCAUGGCUGCAGUAUGGAACA